UGUUGUUGCAGUUAAAAAGCUCGUAGUCGGAUUUCAGUAUUAGGCCCUUCUUCCAAUACGGUUGCUAGUGGUCUUUACUUCCUUAACAGAAUCUUUCAUCUCAUUAAUUUGGGGUGUUUGGGGCCUGUUUCUUUUACUUUGAGAAAAUUAGAGUGUUCAGAGCGGGUUUUCGCCUGGAUAUUACUCUUGGAAUAAUAAUAUAGGACUUUGGUUCUUUUUUGUUGGUGACUUAGAACCGAAGUAAUGAUUGAUAGGGACAGUUGGGGUCAUUCGUACUAUGAAGCGAGAGGUGAAAUUCAUGGACCUUUGUAUGACGAACUACUGCGAAAGCAUUUGACUAAGAUGUUCCCGUUGAUCAAGAACGAAAGUUGGGGGAUCGAAGACGAUCAGAUACCGUCGUAGUCUCAACCAUAAACUAUGCCAGCUAGGGAUUGGAGGAAGAUCAUUUUACGUCUCCUCCAGCACCUUAUGAGAAAUCAAAGCAUUUGGGUUCCGGGGGGAGUAUGGUCGCAAAGGCUGAAACUUA
rnacentral:rRNA from 1 species